GGCAAAACUCCAUUGAACACAUGGCAGCAAAAGACAAUAAAACACAUAAAAAUAUAUAACUGUGCAGCCAUUGCACAAAACAGGUACAUUCAACAUAUCCCCAGAUAGCUCAGAUCUGAGCACACAUUAUUACUGAAUGGCGCUCAGAGCAUACACAUACAGUUCGAUUGCCAUGGAGCCAAAGUCUUUCCCAUAGUCUUUCAUUAUAUGAAUGGGCUCCAUGGCAUAGCUAUCUGGUGUAUCACCACUCAAACAGGGCAAGCACCGAAU